rnacentral:misc_RNA from 1 species
UACGUAGGUGGAAAGCGUUGUCCGGAAUUAUUGGGCGUAAAGCGCGCGCAGGUGGAUAUUUAAGUGAGAUGUGAAAGCCCACGGCUCAACCGUGGAGGGUCAUUGGAAACUGGGGAACUUGAGUGCAGAAGAGGAAAGUGGAAUUCCAAGUGUAGCGGUGAAAUGCGUAGAGAUUUGGAGGAACACCAGUGGCGAAGGCGACUUUCUGGUCUGUAACUGACACUGAGGCGCGAAAGCUGGGGGAGCAAACCGG